GCUGCCGGCCGGCGCGAUUUAAAUUUCCCGGUGACGCCGCGUUCCGAUUGGCUGAUUUGAGCCUAAGCUGCGCGUUCAUUGAUGGUUCCACAGGCCCUGGACAGCAAGGAAACAGCCAAUUCUCCUAAGACUGGACCAACAUCCCCAUACCCAUUUGCCUAGGUUCCCCAGAGACACGUCGCUCCAAAAUCAGUUGAAGUAGUUAAAGAUCAUGACAACCCUAUUUCUGCUCCACCAUCACCUCUAAUUUUUUCCUUUUUUAACUAAACCCAAAUGCAGGAACGUUGGCAUUUAGUCUAGGCUCUGCGCCACGGUUACCUGGGAACAGCCAGGUGUUCCUGACUCACUAUAAAAGGGGCUGCUUGCCCCCCUCCUCUCCUGUGGCUGGUCCCUCAGAGGAAGGGAUGCUGCCUCCGCAUGGGCCCGCAGAGGCACCCCCUUCCCCACUGACUGUUGAGUUUGAAGCCACGUUGAGGGCAGUCUGAUCUACACAGUGGUCCUCAGGAUAUCUAGGGCUGCAUAGAAGAAAAGGAAGAAAAAAAGUAGCAAGGCCUGAGGUAAGGCCUUUCCCCUCUGCUGGUGGCGGGAAGAGGACCAGCUCUGUGACCAGGAGACAAUGUCACCCACUACUACUCACCCACCAUCAAGGCAAAUUAACAAUUACCAAAUAAUACUCGGUGUUUAAGAAGACCCUUUCCCAGAUGCUCAGGAGGCUUACAGGCUACAGUUACCUUUCCUGUUACUGUGAUGAAAUACCAGGAGAGAAGCAAUUCGGGAGCUCGCAGUUCGCAGUCAGUCCAUCACCGUGGACAAGCCAUGACACCCACAUUCCGUAACCAGAGUUGGGGCCAUGCAUCUGCUCCACUCCUGAUCCCCUUGCUGGGUUGUUCCUGACCACAGUGGACCCGGCAGUCUUCCCACAGGACAUAUGUAAUCAAGAUAACCCUCGAAGACUUUCUCAGAGGCUCAUCCCAAAGGAUUGACUCAGGAUAACCUGAGUCGACAAAACUAACCAGCACAUUUGAAUUACCCUUAUACGUGAAUUCUUACAUUGCAAACAAAAAACAAAACAAACAAAACAAAACAAAAAACCAGGGAAUUCCUACCGAGGGGGUGGAGGAAUAAAACUCUGAAACUCUUACUUUUAAAACCUACAAUACGGCCUUUUACA